rnacentral:rRNA from 1 species
AACANCCGCGGUAAUUCCAGCUCCAAUAGCGUAUAUUAAAGUUGUUGCAGUAAAAAGCUCGUAGUAGAAUUUCGGGAUCAGCAGGUUGGUCGUGCCUCUGGUAUGCACUGGUUUCGCUGAUUCCUCCUUUCUGAAGAACUGUAAUGUCAUUAAUUUGGUGUUGCAGGGAAACAGGACUGUUACUUUGAAAAAAUUAGAGUGUUUAAAGCAGGCUAACGCUUGAAUACAUUAGCAUGGAAUAAUGAAAUAGGACGUUUGAUCCUAUUUUGUUGGUUUCUAGGAUUGACGUAAUGAUUAAUAGGGAUAGUUGGGGGCAUUAGUAUUCAAUUGUCAGAGGUGAAAUUCUUGGAUUUAUUGAAGACUAACUACUGCGAAAGCAUUUGCCAAGGAUGUUUUCAUUAAUCAAGAACGAAAGUUAGGGGAUCGAAGACGAUCAGAUACCGUCGUAGUCUUAACCAUAAACUAUGCCGACUAGGGAUCGGAUGAUGUUAAUUUUUUAAUGACUCA